ACCCGAUUGGCGCAGUGGUCAGCGCGUUGCGGAAAGGUAACCGGGGCGCGAUUCCUACAUUAGGCACAAAGAGGUCUUCCACCUCUUGUAGCCGAUGACCGUGCUAAGGCACCCCGCAAAGGUCCUCGGUUCGAAUCCGAGAUUGAUUG